rnacentral:rRNA from 1 species
CAGUAGCCGCGGUAAUACGAGGGGAGCUAGCGUUGUUCGGAAUUACUGGGCGUAAAGCGCGCGUAGGCGGCUUUUUAAGUCAGAGGUGAAAGCCCGGGGCUCAACCCCGGAAUUGCCUUUGAAACUGGAAAGCUAGAAUCUUGGAGAGGUCAGUGGAAUUCCGAGUGUAGAGGUGAAUUUCGUAGAUAUUCGGAAAAACACCAGUGGCGAAGGCGACUGACUGGACAAGUAUUGACGCUGAGGUGCGAAAGCGUGGGGAGCAAACAGGAUUAGAUACCCCCGUAGUCCCUGUCUCUUAUAC